AACGAACGCUGGCGGCAUGCCUAACACAUGCAAGUCGAACGAGACCUUCGGGUCUAGUGGCGCACGGGUGCGUAACGCGUGGGAACCUGCCCUUAGGUUCGGCAUAACUCCCCGAAAGGGGUGCUAAUACCGGAUAAUGUCUUCGGACCAAAGAUUUAUCGCCUUUGGAUGGGCCCGCGUUGGAUUAGCUAGUUGGUAGGGUAAAAGCCUACCAAGGCGACGAUCCAUAGCUGGUCUGAGAGGAUGAUCAGCCACACUGGGACUGAGACACGGCCCAGACUCCUACGGGAGGCAGCAGUGGUGAAUAUUGGACGAUGGGCGAAAGCCUGAUCCAGCAAUGCCGCGUGAGUGAUGAAGGCCUUAGGGUUGUAAAGCUCUUUUACCCGGGAUGAUAAUGACAGUACCGGGAGAAUAAGCACCGGCUAACUCCGUG
rnacentral:rRNA from 1 species